rnacentral:rRNA from 1 species
UACGGAGGGUGCAAGCGUUAUCCGGAUUUAUUGGGUUUAAAGGGUCCGUAGGCGGAUGAUUAAGUCAGUGGUGAAAGCCCACAGCUCAACUGUGGAACUGCCAUUGAUACUGGUUAUCUUGAGUACGAUUGAAGUUGGCGGAAUAAGUCAUGUAGCGGUGAAACGCUUAGAUAUGACUUAGAACACCGAUUGCGAAGGCAGCCAACUAAGCCGUAACUGACGCUGAGGGACGAAAGCGUGGGGAGCGAACAGG